GGAGGAAGCAGGGGAUCGCAAGACCUUGCGCUUUUGGAGCGGCCGAUGCCUGAUUAGCUUGUUGGUGAGGUAAAAGCUCACCAAGGCUUCGAUCAGUAGCUGGUCUGAGAGGACGACCAGCCACACUGGGACUGAGACACGGCCCAGACUCCUACGGGAGGCAGCAGUGGGGAAUUUUGGACAAUGGGGGCAACCCUGAUCCAGCCAUGCCGCGUGAGUGAAGAAGGCCUUCGGGUUGUAAAGCUCUUUCAGCCGGAACGAAACGGUUACGGUUAAUACCCGUGACUACUGACGGUACCGGAAGAAGAAGCACCGGCUAACUACGUGCCAGCAGCCGCGGUAAUACGUAGGGUGCAAGCGUUAAUCGGAAUUACUGGGCGUAAAGCGUGCGCAGGUGGUUUUGUAAGUCAGAUGUGAAAUCCCCGGGCUUAACCUGGGAACUGCGUUUGAAACUACAAAGCUAG
rnacentral:rRNA from 1 species